UACGAAGGGGGGCUAGCGUUGCUCGGAAUCACUGGGCGUAAAGGGUGCGUAGGCGGGUCUUUAAGUCAGGGGUGAAAUCCUGGAGCUCAACUCCAGAACUGCCUUUGAUACUGAGGAUCUUGAGUACGGGAGAGGUGAGUGGAACUGCGAGUGUAGAGGUGAAAUUCGUAGAUAUUCGCAAGAACACCAGUGGCGAAGGCGGCUCACUGGCCCGUUACUGACGCUGAGGCACGAAAGCGUGGGGAGCAAACAGG
rnacentral:rRNA from 1 species